rnacentral:misc_RNA from 1 species
GAAAUGCGAUAAGUAGUGUGAAUUGCAGAAUUUAGCGAAUCAUCGAAUCUUUGAACGCACAUUGCGCCCCUUGGUAUUCCAUGGGGCAUGCCUGUUCGAGCGUCAUUUCAACCCUCAAGCACUGCUUGGUGUUGGGCGUUUGUCCCGCCUGCGCGCGUGGACUCGCCUCAAAGUCAUUGGCAGCUGUUCCCCUUCGGCUCGUAAGCGCAGCACAGUCGGCGCCCGGAGCUCUGGUGGGAUGGCGUCCAGCAAGCUAUAUUUUCAGGCUUGACCUCGGAUCAGGUAGGGAUACCCGCUGAACUUAAGC